rnacentral:rRNA from 1 species
GAUGAACGCUGGCGGCGUGCCUAAUACAUGCAAGUCGAGCGAACAGACGAGGAGCUUGCUCCUCUGACGUUAGCGGCGGACGGGUGAGUAACACGUGGAUAACCUACCUAUAAGACUGGGAUAACUUCGGGAAACCGGAGCUAAUACCGGAUAAUAUAUUGAACCGCAUGGUUCAAUAGUGAAAGACGGUUUUGCUGUCACUUAUAGAUGGAUCCGCGCCGCAUUAGCUAGUUGGUAAGGUAACGGCUUACCAAGGCGACGAUGCGUAGCCGGCCUGAGAGGGUGAGCGGCCACACUGGAACUGAGACACGGUCCAGACUCCUACGGGAGGCAGCAGUAGGGAAUCUUCCGCAAUGGGCGAAAGCCUGACGGAGCAACGCCGCGUGAGUGAUGAAGGUCUUCGGAUCGUAAAACUCUGUUAUUAGGGAAGAACAAAUGGGUAAGUAACUAUGCACGUCUUGACGGUACCUAAUCAGAAAGCCACGGCUAACUACGUG